rnacentral:rRNA from 1 species
UACGUAGGGGGCGAGCGUUGUCCGGAUUUAUUGGGCGUAAAGAGCGUGUAGACGGUUCGGUAAGUCUGUCGUGAAAUCCUGAGGCUCAACCUCGGGCGUGCGAUGGAUACUGCCGGGCUAGAGGGUGGUAGAGGCGAGUGGAAUUCCCGGUGUAGCGGUGAAAUGCGCAGAUAUCAGGAGGAACACCGGUGGCGAAGGCGCACAUCUGGCCCGAUACUGACGCUGAGGCGCGAAAGCUAGGGGAGCAAACGGG